AGGGGCUGGCGGCGUGCUAUACAUGCAGUCGAACGAGUUCUCGUUGAUGAUCGGUGCUUGCACCGAGAUUCAACAUGGAACGAGUGGCGGACGGGUGAGUAACACGUGGGUAACCUGCCCUUAAGUGGGGGAUAACAUUUGGAAACAGAUGCUAAUACCGCAUAGAUCCAAGAACCGCAUGGUUCUUGGCUGAAAGAUGGCGUAAGCUAUCGCUUUUGGAUGGACCCGCGGCGUAUUAGCUAGUUGGUGAGGUAAUGGCUCACCAAGGCGAUGAUACGUAGCCGAACUGAGAGGUUGAUCGGCCACAUUGGGACUGAGACACGGCCCAAACUCCUACGGGAGGCAGCAGUAGGGAAUCUUCCACAAUGGACGCAAGUCUGAUGGAGCAACGCCGCGUGAGUGAAGAAGGCUUUCGGGUCGUAAAACUCUGUUGUUGGAGAAGAAUGGUCGGCAGAGUAACUGUUGUCGGCGUGACGGUAUCCAACCAGAAAGCCACGGCUAACUACGUGCCAGCAGCCGCGGUAAUACGUAGGUGGCAAGCGUUAUCCGGAUUUAUUGGGCGUAAAGCGAGCGCAGGCGGUUUUUUAAGUCUGAUGUGAAAGCCCUCGGCUUAACCGAGGAAGCGCAUCGGAAACUGGGAAACUUGAGUGCAGAAGAGGACAGUGGAACUCCAUGUGUAGCGGUGAAAUGCGUAGAUAUAUGGAAGAACACCAGUGGCGAAGGCGGCUGUCUGGUCUGUAACUGACGCUGAGGCUCGAAAGCAUGGGUAGCGAACAGGAUUAGAUACCCUGGUAGUCCAUGCCGUAAACGAUGAAUGCUAGGUGUUGGAGGGUUUCCGCCCUUCAGUGCCGCAGCUAACGCAUUAAGCAUUCCGCCUGGGGAGUACGACCGCAAGGUUGAAACUCAAAGGAAUUGACGGGGGCCCGCACAAGCGGUGGAGCAUGUGGUUUAAUUCGAAGCAACGCGAAGAACCUUACCAGGUCUUGACAUCUUUUGAUCACCUGAGAGAUCAGGUUUCCCCUUCGGGGGCAAAAUGACAGGUGGUGCAUGGUUGUCGUCAGCUCGUGUCGUGAGAUGUUGGGUUAAGUCCCGCAACGAGCGCAACCCUUAUGACUAGUUGCCAGCAUUUAGUUGGGCACUCUAGUAAGACUGCCGGUGACAAACCGGAGGAAGGUGGGGAUGACGUCAAAUCAUCAUGCCCCUUAUGACCUGGGCUACACACGUGCUACAAUGGAUGGUACAACGAGUUGCGAGACCGCGAGGUCAAGCUAAUCUCUUAAAGCCAUUCUCAGUUCGGACUGUAGGCUGCAACUCGCCUACACGAAGUCGGAAUCGCUAGUAAUCGCGGAUCAGCACGCCGCGGUGAAUACGUUCCCGGGCCUUGUACACACCGCCCGUCACACCAUGAGAGUUUGUAACACCCGAAGCCGGUGGCGUAACCCUUUUAGGGAGCGAGCCGUCUAAGGUGAACAAAGUUG
rnacentral:rRNA from 1 species